GGCAGCACGGGUACUUGUACCUGGUGGCGAGCGGCGGACGGGUGAGUAAUGCCUAGGAAUCUGCCUGGUAGUGGGGGAUAACGCUCGGAAACGGACGCUAAUACCGCAUACGUCCUACGGGAGAAAGCAGGGGACCUUCGGGCCUUGCGCUAUCAGAUGAGCCUAGGUCGGAUUAGCUAGUUGGUGAGGUAAUGGCUCACCAAGGCGACGAUCCGUAACUGGUCUGAGAGGAUGAUCAGUCACACUGGAACUGAGACACGGUCCAGACUCCUACGGGAGGCAGCAGUGGGGAAUAUUGGACAAUGGGCGAAAGCCUGAUCCAGCCAUGCCGCGUGUGUGAAGAAGGUCUUCGGAUUGUAAAGCACUUUAAGUUGGGAGGAAGGGCAUUUACCUAAUACGUGAGUGUUUUGACGUUACCGACAGAAUAAGCACCGGCUAACUCUGUGCCAGCAGCCGCGGUAAUACAGAGGGUGCAAGCGUUAAUCGGAAUUACUGGGCGUAAAGCGCGCGUAGGUGGUUUGUUAAGUUGGAUGUGAAAUCCCCGGGCUCAACCUGGGAACUGCAUCCAAAACUGGCAAGCUAGAGUAUGGUAGAGGGUGGUGGAAUUUCCUGUGUAGCGGUGAAAUGCGUAGAUAUAGGAAGGGAACACCGAUGGCGAAGG
rnacentral:rRNA from 2 species